rnacentral:misc_RNA from 1 species
GAACGCACAUUGCGCCCCCUGGCAUUCCGGGGGGCAUGCCUGUCCGAGCGUCAUUGCUACCCCUCAAGCGCGGCUUGUGUGUUGGGCGCUGUCCCCCCCCCCUUUUCGGGGGGACAGGCCUGAAAGGCAGUGGCGGCGUCGCGUCCGGUCCUCGAGCGUAUGGGGCUUUGUCACCCGCUCUGUGAGGAUCCGGCCGGGGCCUGUCUCACCCCCAAUCUUCUCUAAGGUUGACCUCGGAUCAGGUAGGGAUACCCGCUGAACUUAAG